rnacentral:rRNA from 1 species
UUAAGUUAAUAAGGGCGCACGGUGGAUGCCUUGGCACUAGAAGCCGAAGAAGGACGUGACUAACGACGAAAUGCUUUGGGGAGCUGUAAGUAAGCGCUGAUCCAGAGAUGUCCGAAUGGGGGAACCCACUAGUUAAUGACUAGUAUCCAUAUCUGUUAAGGAUAUGAGAAGGAAGACGCAGUGAACUGAAACAUCUAAGUAGCUGCAGGAAGAGAAAGCAAAAGCGAUUGCCUUAGUAGCGGCGAGCGAAACGGCAGGAGGGCAAACCGAAGUGUUUACACUUCGGGGUUGUAGGACUGCGAUAUAGGAUUAAUCAUUAUAGAAGAAUUACCUGGGAAGGUAAGCCAAAGAGAGUAACAGCCUCGUAUUUAAAAUGAUAGAUUAACCUUAGCAGUAUCCUGAGUACGGCGAGACACGCGAAAUCUCGUCGGAAUCUGGGAGGACCAUCUCCCAACCCUAAAUACUCUCUAGUGACCGAUAGUGAACCAGUACCGUGAGGGAAAGGUGAAAAGCACCCCGGGAGGGGAGUGAAAUAGAACCUGAAACCGUGUGCCUACAACAAGUUCGAGCCCGUUAAUGGGUGAGAGCGUGCCUUUUGUAGAAUGAACCGGCGAGUUACGAUAUGAUGCGAGGUUAAGUUGAAGAGACGGAGCCGUAGGGAAACCGAGUCUUAAUAGGGCGUAUUAGUAUCAUGUCGUAGACCCGAAACCAUGUGACCUACCCAUGAGCAGGUUGAAGGUGAGGUAAAACUCACUGGAGGACCGAACCAGGGCACGUUGAAAAGUGCUUGGAUGACUUGUGGGUAGCGGAGAAAUUCCAAACGAACUUGGAGAUAGCUGGUUCUCUCCGAAAUAGCUUUAGGGCUAGCGUCGAUGUUAAGUCUCUUGGAGGUAGAGCACUGUUUGGGUGAGGGGUCCAUCCCGGAUUACCAAUCUCAGAUAAACUCCGAAUGCCAACGAGAUAUAAUCGGCAGUCAGACUGCGAGUGCUAAGAUCCGUAGUCGAAAGGGAAACAGCCCAGACCACCAGCUAAGGUCCCAAAAUAUAUGUUAAGUGGAAAAGGAUGUGGGGUUGCACAGACAACUAGGAUGUUAGCUUAGAAGCAGCUAUUCAUUCAAAGAGUGCGUAAUAGCUCACUAGUCGAGUGACCCUGCGCCGAAAAUGUACCGGGGCUAAAACAUAUUACCGAAGCUGUGGAUACCUUUAUAGGUAUGGUAGGAGAGCGUUCUAUGUGCGAAGAAGGUGUACCGUGAGGAGUGCUGGAGCGCAUAGAAGUGAGAAUGCCGGUAUGAGUAGCGAAAGACAGGUGAGAAUCCUGUCCACCGUAAGACUAAGGUUUCCAGGGGAAGGCUCGUCCGCCCUGGGUUAGUCGGGACCUAAGGAGAGACCGAAAGGUGUAUCCGAUGGACAACAGGUUGAUAUUCCUGUACUAGAGUAUAUAGUGAUGGAGGGACGCAGUAGGCUAACUAAACCAGACGAUUGGAAGUGUCUGGCCAAGCAGUGAGGUGUGAUAUGAGUCAAAUGCUUAUAUCUAUAACAUUGAGCUGUGAUGGGGAGCGAAGUUUAGUAGCGAAGUUAGUGAUGUCACACUGCCGAGAAAAGCUUCUAGCGUUAAUUAUACUCUACCCGUACCGCAAACCGACACAGGUAGUCGAGGCGAGUAGCCUCAGGUGAGCGAGAGAACUCUCGUUAAGGAACUCGGCAAAAUGGCCCCGUAACUUCGGGAGAAGGGGCGCUGAUUUUAGAUCAGCCGCAGUGAAUAGGCCCAAGCAACUGUUUAUCAAAAACACAGCUCUCUGCUAAAUCGUAAGAUGAUGUAUAGGGGGUGACGCCUGCCCGGUGCUGGAAGGUUAAGAGGAGUGCUUAGCGCAAGCGAAGGUAUGAAUUGAAGCCCCAGUAAACGGCGGCCGUAACUAUAACGGUCCUAAGGUAGCGAAAUUCCUUGUCGGGUAAGUUCC